CUAGUCUGCAGACCCAAUGCAGCAGAGAGCCAGGGAUGCACUUCUUUGGCAGGUACCAAAAUGUAUUCACUUUCCCAGAUUUCCAUUCCUGUGCUCACCAGCUCUCACGAAAGGACAGUGGCAGAUGGCUCUGACGUGCGUCGGGCUUACACCCAGCAGGCAGGAAGCUGAUUGAACAGAUCCUCUGCCAGCUAAUGUCAGCCAGUGCCACUUCACAACCGGCCACGCCUCUCCCCGCUCCCCUACACAGCCAGCUUGGUGAGGGCUGCUGGCAAAAACAACAGAUGAAACCCCCAUGGAUCCCUGUUCCCCAGAGUGCUCCUCCGCGGCGUUAGCGGCACACCUCACGAGUUCUAAGAGGGCGGCUGUGCCCCACUCUGAUGGGGUUCAGAGACUCAGUCAGCAGGAACCUCCAUGGCCAUUUGCAGCACCAUUUUGUCGGGGGAUUAUGCCAUGCACGGCAGCUGCUCCCCAUUCUGGGUGGCCUGGUGUCUCUUGGCUGUAUGAUCUUCCUGACGCAUCUGGGAUACUGCUGCGUAGCUACAUGGGCCCUGGAAAGCCCGCCCAGGCCUCUCUCGAUCGGAAUUACAGCCGGGAAUGUUGAUUCUCCAUCCAAAUUCACCGAAGAGCAUAAGAUAAUGCUUUUUACCCAAUAUUCUGGUUUGGGCAGAAGCGGAAGGGAGGAAGAGCGAGAAAACAAAACGGCCAUUUACAGCAAUUGUUGAUCAUGAAAAAAGUCAGUGGCUUGUUACCCAGUGGCUUCUGAGGCUGCAGAAUUCACAGGAAAUACCCCAGUCCCGGGAAUUAUUUGUGAGUGCUAAACAUCUGCAUGGUGAAAUGGUGAGGUCUGCAUCAUUAGUGGUGUUACAGAAGCUCCUACAGGGCCCAGCAGAGAUCAGGGCUCUGGUGUGCUAGGUACUGUACAUACAUUGUAGUACCAGAUAGUCCCUGCUCUGAAGAGUUUACAGUCCAACCUGAGGAAACAGAGGCACAUGCCCACAGUCAGCCAAUGGCAGGGCUCGGAUGAGACCUUGGUCUCUGGAGUCCUAGCCCACUAAACCACACCUUAGCAGCCCUCUCCAAGAGAGGACAUGCCAGGGCCUAGCAGACGUGCCUCUCAGUGCAGGUUUCACCAGAUGUGGAAAGGAGCAAGCCAGAGAAC
rnacentral:lncRNA from 1 species